AGGGAAUCUUCGGCAAUGGGGGCAACCCUGACCGAGCAACGCCGCGUGAGUGAAGAAGGUUUUCGGAUCGUAAAGCUCUGUUGUAAGUCAAGAACGGGUGUGAGAGUGGAAAGUUCACACUGUGACGGUAGCUUACCGGAAAGGGACGGCUAACUACGUGCCAGCAGCCGCGGUAAUACGUAGGUCCCGAGCGUUGUCCGGAUUUAUUGGGCGUAAAGCGAGCGCAGGCGGUUUGAUAAGUCUGAAGUUAAAGGCUGUGGCUCAACCAUAGUUCGCUUUGGAAACUGUUAAACUUGAGUGCAGAAGGGGAGAGUGGAAUUCCAUGUGUAGCGGUGAAAUGCGUAGAUAUAUGGAGGAACACCGGUGGCGAAAGCGGCUCUCUGGUCUGUAACUGACGCUGAGGCUCGAAAGCGUGGGGAGCGAACAGGAUUAGAUACCCUGGUAGUCCACGCCGUAAACGAUGAGUGCUAGGUGUUGGAUCCUUUCCGGGAUUCAGUGCCGAAGCUAACGCAUUAAGCACUCCGCCUGGGGAGUACGACCGCAAGGUUGAAACUCUAAAGUGAAUUGAC
rnacentral:rRNA from 1 species